GACGAACGUUGGCGGCGUGCUUAACACAUGCAAGUCGAACGGAAAGGCCCUGCUUUUGUGGGGUGCUCGAGUGGCGAACGGGUGAGUAACACGUGAGUAACCUGCCCUUGACUUUGGGAUAACUUCAGGAAACUGGGGCUAAUACCGGAUAGGAGCUCCUGCUGCAUGGUGGGGGUUGGAAAGUUUCGGCGGUUGGGGAUGGACUCGCGGCUUAUCAGCUUGUUGGUGGGGUAGUGGCUUACCAAGGCUUUGACGGGUAGCCGGCCUGAGAGGGUGACCGGCCACAUUGGGACUGAGAUACGGCCCAGACUCCUACGGGAGGCAGCAGUGGGGAAUAUUGCACAAUGGGCGGAAGCCUGAUGCAGCAACGCCGCGUGCGGGAUGACGGCCUUCGGGUUGUAAACCGCUUUCGCCUGUGACGAAGCGUGAGUGACGGUAAUGGGUAAAGAAGCACCGGCUAACCACGUGCCAGCAGCCGCGGUGAUACGUAGGGUGCGAGCGUUGUCCGGAUUUAUUGGGCGUAAAGGGCUCGUAGGUGGUUGAUCGCGUCGGAAGUGUAAUCUUGGGGCUUAACCCUGAGCGUGCUUUCGAUACGGGUUGACUUGAGGAAGGUAGGGGAGAAUGGAAUUCCUGGUGGAGCGGUGGAAUGCGCAGAUAUCAGGAGGAACACCAGUGGCGAAGGCGGUUCUCUGGGCCUUUCCUGACGCUGAGGAGCGAAAGCGUGGGGAGCGAACAGGCUUAGAUACCCUGGUAGUCCACGCCGUAAACGGUGGGUACUAGGUGUGGGGUCCAUUCCACGGGUUCCGUGCCGUAGCUAACGCUUUAAGUACCCCGCCUGGGGAGUACGGCCGCAAGGCUAAAACUCAAAGGAAUUGACGGGGCCCCGCACAAGCGGCGGAGCAUGCGGAUUAAUUCGAUGCAACGCGUAGAACCUUACCUGGGUUUGACAUGGAUCGGGAGUGCUCAGAGAUGGGUGUGCCUCUUUUGGGGUCGGUUCACAGGUGGUGCAUGCCUGUCGUCAGCUCGUGUCGUGAGAUGUUGGGUUAAGUCCCGCAACGAGCGCAACCCUUGUUCACUGUUGCCAGCACGUUAUGGUGGGGACUCAGUGGAGACCGCCGGGGUCAACUCGGAGGAAGGUGGGGAUGACGUCAAGUCAUCAUGCCCCUUAUGUCCAGGGCUUCACGCAUGCUACAAUGGCUGGUACAGAGAGUGGCGAGCCUGUGAGGGUGAGCGAAUCUCGGAAAGCCGGUCUCAGUUCGGAUUGGGGUCUGCAACUCGACCUCAUGAAGUCGGAGUCGCUAGUAAUCGCAAAUCAGCAACGCUGCGGUGAAUACGUUCCCGGG
rnacentral:rRNA from 1 species